rnacentral:tRNA from 1 species
GGCCGCCUGGCGAAAUGGCAUCGCGUCUGACUACGAUUUGUAAUCAGGAGAUUGCAGGUUCGACCCUGCGGCGGUCA